GAAUGUCCAACCACAAAACAACUCGUUAGUCCUUCAGAGCAGAGAACUGAUUGUGUGUGAAGUCAAGAAAAGUCCCCAGGGUGAAAUACACGGAAAGUUUAAGACACGGUGAUGGACCGCAGCCCCAUAGAAGUAUUGGAAAUGACACUGCGGAAGGUCAAUGCGAGCCAGAGAGAGAUUGCAUGACUCCAAGAACUCCGGCAUCUCAGGACUCUGCAACGAUGAAGGUUGCUCUGCUGUGCCAACGUUUGCCAAGUCAAGCUACCUCGAGGAACACAAUAAAUCCUGCUCCCUUUUGGCA
ensembl:lncRNA